UUGCCCAGACAACUAGGAUGUUGGCUUAGAAGCAGCCAUCAUUUAAAGAGUGCGUAAUAGCUCACUAGUCGAGUGACACUGCGCCGAAAAUGUACCGGGGCUAAACAUAUUACCGAAGCUGUGGAUUGUCCUUUGGACAAUGGUAGGAGAGCGUUCUAAGGGCGUUGAAGCAUGAUCGUAAGGACAUGUGGAGCGCUUAGAAGUGAGAAUGCCGGUGUGAGUAGCGAAAGACGGGUGAGAAUCCCGUCCACCGAUUGACUAAGGUUUCCAGAGGAAGGCUCGUCCGCUCUGGGUUAGUCGGGUCCUAAGCUGAGGCCGACAGGCGUAGGCGAUGGAUAACAGGUUGAUAUUCCUGUACCACCUAUAAUCGUUUUAAUCGAUGGGGGGGACGCAGUAGGAUAGGCGAAGCGUGCGAUUGGAUUGCACGUCUAAGCAGUAAGGCUGAGUAUUAGGCAAAUCCGGUACUCAUUAAGGCUGAGCUGUGAUGGGGAGAAGACAUUGUGUCUUCGAGUCGUUGAUUUCACACUGCCGAGAAAAGCCUCUAGAUAGAAAAUAGGUGCCCGUACCGCAAACCGACACAGGUAGUCAAGAUGAGAAUUCUAAGGUGAGCGAGCGAACUCUCGUUAAGGAACUCGGCAAAAUGACCCCGUAACUUCGGGAGAAGGGGUGCUCUUUAGGGUUAACGCCCAGAAGAGCCGCAGUGAAUAGGCCCAAGCGACUGUUUAUCAAAAACACAGGUCUCUGCUAAACCGUAAGGUGAUGUAUAGGGGCUGACGCCUGCCCGGUGCUGGAAGGUUAAGAGGAGUGGUUAGCUUCUGCGAAGCUACGAAUCGAAGCCCCAGUAAACGGCGGCCGUAACUAUAACGGUCCUAAGGUAGCGAAAUUCCUUGUCGGGUAAGUUCCGACCCGCACGAAAGGCGUAACGAUUUGGGCACUGUCUCAACGAGAGACUCGGUGAAAUCAUAGUACCUGUGAAGAUGCAGGUUACCCGCGACAGGACGGAAAGACCCCGUGGAGCUUUACUGUAGCCUGAUAUUGAAAUUCGGCACAGCUUGUACAGGAUAGGUAGGAGCCUUUGAAACGUGAGCGCUAGCUUACGUGGAGGCGCUGGUGGGAUACUACCCUAGCUGUGUUGGCUUUCUAACCCGCACCACUUAUCGUGGUGGGAGACAGUGUCAGGCGGGCAGUUUGACUGGGGCGGUCGCCUCCUAAAAGGUAACGGAGGCGCUCAAAGGUUCCCUCAGAAUGGUUGGAAAUCAUUCAUAGAGUGUAAAGGCAUAAGGGAGCUUGACUGCGAGACCUACAAGUCGAGCAGGGUCGAAAGACGGACUUAGUGAUCCGGUGGUUCCGUAUGGAAGGGCCAUCGCUCAACGGAUAAAAGCUACCCCGGGGAUAACAGGCUUAUCUCCCCCAAGAGUUCACAUCGACGGGGAGGUUUGGCACCUCGAUGUCGGCUCAUCGCAUCCUGGGGCUGUAGUCGGUCCCAAGGGUUGGGCUGUUCGCCCAUUAAAGCGGUACGCGAGCUGGGUUCAGAACGUCGUGAGACAGUUCGGUCCCUAUCCGUCGUGGGCGUAGGAAAUUUGAGAGGAGCUGUCCUUAGUACGAGAGGACCGGGAUGGACAUACCUCUGGUGUACCAGUUGUCGUGCCAACGGCAUAGCUGGGUAGCUAUGUGUGGACGGGAUAAGUGCUGAAAGCAUCUAAGCAUGAAGCCCCCCUCAAGAUGAGAUUUCCCAACUUCGGUUAUAAGAUCCCUCAAAGAUGAUGAGGUUAAUAGGUUCGAGGUGGAAGCAUGGUGACAUGUGGAGCUGACGAAUACUAAUCGAUCGAAGACUUAAUCAA
rnacentral:rRNA from 1 species